rnacentral:tRNA from 18 species
GCGGGAGUAGCUCAGUGGUAGAGUGCUUCCUUGCCAAGGAAGAUGUCGCCGGUUCGACCCCGGUCUCCCGCUCCA